rnacentral:rRNA from 1 species
AGUGAACGCUGGCGGUAGGCCUAACACAUGCAAGUCGAACGGCAGCACAGUAAGAGCUUGCUCUUACGGGUGGCGAGUGGCGGACGGGUGAGGAAUACAUCGGAAUCUACUUUUUCGUGGGGGAUAACGUAGGGAAACUUACGCUAAUACCGCAUACGACCUACGGGUGAAAGCAGGGGAUCUUCGGACCUUGCGCGAUUGAAUGAGCCGAUGUCGGAUUAGCUAGUUGGCGGGGUAAAGGCCCACCAAGGCGACGAUCCGUAGCUGGUCUGAGAGGAUGAUCAGCCACACUGGAACUGAGACACGGUCCAGACGCCUACGGGAGGCAGCAGUGGGGAAUAGUGGACAAUGGGCGCAAGCCUGAUCCAGCCAUACCGCGUGGGUGAAGAAGGCCUUCGGGUUGUAAAGCCCUUUUGUUGGGAAAGAAAAGCAGCAGGUUAAUACCCCGCUGUUCUGACGGUACCCAAAGAAUAAGCACCGGCUAACUUCGUG